rnacentral:rRNA from 1 species
ACGUCAAAUCAUCAUGGCCUUUAUGUCCAGGGCUACACACGUAAUACAAUGGCAUAGACAGAGGGCAGCAAUACCGCAAGGUGGAGCAAAUCCCUAAACUGUGCCUCAGUUCGGAUUGAAGGCUGCAAUUUGCCUUCAUGAAGCUGGAAUCGCUAGUAAUCGCAGAUCAGCACGCUGCGGUGAAUACGUUCCCGGGCCUU